CUUAUAAAGAGUGGUAGAGGGACGGGCCCGAUGAAACCCGGCAACCGGUCAUGCACAUUUGACAGUGGUGCCAAUUCCCGCAGUGCGAAAGCGCUGAAAUAUGAGG
rnacentral:ncRNA from 1 species